rnacentral:rRNA from 1 species
ACGAGAAGACCCCAUGGAGCUUCAAACCCAACUACACCCCUAACUUCUAUAACCCCCACCCCACGGGACCCUGUAUAGUUGGUUUUAGGUUGGGGCAACCACGGAGCACAACAAAGCCUCCACAAUGAAUGGGACCACCCCCCUUAUCUAAGAGCCACACCCCUAGGAAUUAAAACAUUAAUAUAAAAUGAUCCAUUAUUUGAUCAAUGAACCAAGUUACCCUGGGGAUAACAGCGCAAUCCAUUUCAAGAGCCCCUAUCGACAAAUGGGUUUACGACCUCGAUGUUGGAUCAGGGUGUCCUGGUGGUGCAGCAGCUACUAAUGGUUCGUUUGUUCAACGAUUAAAACCCU